GCUCGUUAGGACAUUCCAUUUCUUACCCAAUCCGUGACAGUCACCUCUUUCUCAACAUCCCCGUCACCACUACAAUGGGCGUCGAUAAACCACCACCCAAACCAACCACCACACCGCCACCGUUCCUCUACCGCAUCACUUCUCUCGACGCUACAAUCUCCCAUUCCAUCCACACCUUCACCUCCCCCCACGCCCCAAAACAGUUCCUCCGCUUCCUCGAACACUUAGCCGAUUUCCGCUUAUUCUUCCCCGUCACUCUCUCACUCUUCCUCGCCACACCCCCUCUCUCUCCUCUCCGUCCUCACCUCUUCCUCCCUCUCCUCAUCUGCUCCAUCCUCGACCUCAUUUUCAUCGGUUUCACCAAAUUUCUCGUUCGUAGAUCUCGUCCUUUGUAUUCCAUUCACGGUGAUUACAACGCUGUUGUUCCCGUUGAUAAAUUCUCAUUCCCGAGUGGUCACUCAUCCAGAGUUUGUUUCAUUGCUUCGAUAUUUUCACUCUCGCGUGAUUGGAUCGUUGACGCGGUCAACCAUCCGAGUCAUCCGCGGAUUGCGGUAUUUGUUGAGAGGUGGAUUGGUGGAGAUGAAGUUAUGGCGGUUAAUUUGUUGGUUGUUUUAGUUUGGUGUUGGGCUUUGACGACGGUUAUUUCAAGGGUUGUUCUUGGGAGGCAUUAUGUUCUUGAUGUUAUCGUCGGAGCUUGCUUUGGUGUUUUGGAAGCUUUGAUUACUUUGCGGUUUCUCAAUUUCAGUGUUUUGAUUUGAGACUCUUCAUUAAUGGGAUGACUUAGCCAGAGAAAAUUAGAAAGAAAACAAAUGAUAGGAAAAAGGACUACAUCAUUGUCCAUGCCAAGUGUAAUGUGGCCCUUGCUCCAAUUAUGUUGUUGCUUAGAUGAGGGAUAGAGUUUAUCAAGACAGAGUGUUAAACACUAAGUGGGAGAGAGAAUCUAAAUGAAGCAUUAUAAUGCACGGCAUUGCACGCUAAGCAUUCAACUGUCAGAAAAGAGUGGGGGAAAAAUGAUGAGAAAGUUUUUAAGAAAUUUAUUUUUGAAUUGGUGAGCGGUAUUCUUCGUGGCAGCCUUUUGGUCGUGCACAUGUGGUUUUGGGUGGAUGGCAUUGGUUAGGAAGGUUCCUAUUUGUUAAAGCAUGAAGCUGUGUAUUAGGUUCUUGGUCAAGCUUGUCGACUGGAUUCUUGUAGUGCAUGUUUUCCUUUUCUUUAUCUUUAUUUGUUCAGGUUCUCAUGGAGCACAUUGAACUUAUGCUAUCUGAGGAAAUCAAAUCUUUUUAUUUGGAAUCCAACAGAUAAUGAAGUCGCGAAUGUUUUACCACAUUGGCGUUCUGAUUCUCACAGAUAAUUUUGGACACCUAUACGACUAACAUCCAGCAAAUACUACUUGGUCUCAAUUCUUUCCUCAUUCAUUAGUUAAAAUUGAUUUCUAGUAUCAUUGCUGUUAGUUAUUUAUUCCUUGAGAAUUUGACUAUUUACUUCUCUAUACUCUCCCCUACAUGAUUGUAAAUAAUAAAUUUUGACAUGUGAUAUAUCAAUAUAUCAUCUUUGGUAAAGAAGCUCUGUUUUUUAUUUAUUUGUAACUUUUUGUCUUAAGUUCCAUUCAAACUAAAGGAUGUGUGGUAUGCAUUGAUUUCCUUAUCUGGUGCCCAAGUUUUCUGCAGCUGUCAGAGGUUUCUAUUUUUUAUUUUUUUUGCAGAGGUGCUGACACCAAGACAUUUUGUUCUGUAUAGUCUUAGGAAUCUGGAGCUGGUUUAUAAAUUAUGUGAUUCUGGGGUUAGAUUUUGUCUGGUCUAUCUCCAAUGUUUACUUCACCAGUUCAGUGGAUAAGAUUAAGCAUUUGUUUUUUAAGUUUGGGUUAAUAAUUAGCAUCCUGCAAUCUAUCAGCUUUGAUUAAUGAAGGGCUGGCUUCAAGGGAAGGGACCACGUUUUUUAUUUAAUUUGUUUGAUUAGUCUGCCGUCGGCCAUAAGCUGAAACAUAGACCAUCAACAUUUGAAGGAUGGAAAGUUGUUAGGUAAGUUGCUUCUUUUGCAUGUGCCUCCUACUGUGAGUGAUGCUUUUAUCAUAUAAGUUGAUCUUGAUUUGAUGGAAUGAUUGAUCGUUCUUUGCUUUCCUUUCAAUUUUGGAAAAAGAUUCAUAAACUUGCCACAUUAGCGGCAGACGGUGGUUGUUAUCUUGUGCUGGCAGCAUUAUUACCAUAGUUAGGGUGUGGAUAUUUGCAUGUGGAACACACCAAAGGACGAGUGAAACUAGUCAUUUUCUGUUUUAUUGACUUGACAUGUGGGGCUGAUAACCAUUAACUCCCAAAAGAAUUUUAAGAGCAUAUCAAGUUGGAGGAGGCAUUCACCUUCUUUCAUAUUAGCCCACAGAACAUUGACAAAUUUCCCUCUAUUCAUGUCUGUUUCUUAUUGCUUUGCUGAAAAAUAAUUGCAUCUACAUUAAAUUUUUGAUGUUUAUUA